rnacentral:tRNA from 2 species
GCGCUCGUGGCGGAAUUGGCAGACGCGCUGGAUUUAGGUUCCAGUGUCUUCGGAUGUGUGGGUUCAAGUCCCACCGGGCGCACCA